rnacentral:snRNA from 1 species
CGAGUCGGGUUGUUUGGG